rnacentral:rRNA from 1 species
CUAACACAUGCAAGUCGAGCGGUCCUUCGGGACAGCGGCGGACGGGUUAGUAACGCGUGGGAACGUGCCCUUUAGUACGGAAUAGCCAUUGGAAACGAUGAUUAAUACCGUAUACGCCCUUCGGGGGAAAGAUUUAUCGCUAAAGGAUCGGCCCGCGUUAGAUUAGGUAGUUGGUGGGGUAAUGGCCUACCAAGCCUACGAUCUAUAGCUGGUUUGAGAGGAUGAUCAGCAACACUGGGACUGAGACACGGCCCAGACUCCUACGGGAGGCAGCAGUGGGGAAUCUUGGACAAUGGGCGCAAGCCUGAUCCAGCCAUGCCGCGUGAGCGAUGAAGGCCUUAGGGUUGUAAAGCUCUUUCGCCAGGGAAGAUAAUGACGGUACCUGGUAAAGAAACCCCGGCUAACUCCGUGCCAGCAGCCGCGGUAAUACGGAGGGGGUUAGCGUUGUUCGGAAUUACUGGGCGUAAAGCGCACGUAGGCGGAUUAGUCAGUCAGGGGUGAAAUCCCGAGGCUCAACCUCGGAACUGCCUUUGAUACUGCUAGUCUAGAGUUCGAGAGAGGUGAGUGGAAUUCCGAGUGUAGAGGUGAAAUUCGUAGAUAUUCGGAGGAACACCAGUGGCGAAGGCGGCUCACUGGCUCGAUACUGACGC